rnacentral:rRNA from 1 species
UACGUAGGGUGCAAGCGUUGUCCGGAAUUAUUGGGCGUAAAGAGCUCGUAGGCGGUGUGUCGCGUCGGCCGUGAAAACCUGGGGCUCAACUCUGGGCGUGCGGUCGAUACGGGCAUCACUUGAGUUCGGCAGGGGAGACUGGAAUUCCUGGUGUAGCGGUGAAAUGCGCAGAUAUCAGGAGGAACACCGGUGGCGAAGGCGGGUCUCUGGGCAUUAACUGACGCUGAGGAGCGAAAGCAUGGGGAGCGAACAGG